GAGUCUCAACUAUUGUAGCAAAACUUCUUAUAUCUGAAAUUAUGGUGCGAGGAGUUGAGGCGCGAAUCGCUGGGCAUGAUGCUUUUCACUUGAUGGAAAAAACUAUAACUAUUGGCCACAGAAAAGCAAAGAACAAUAAUGAUAAGCUCGAGACAGGGAGCAGCGAGUUGGCGACGGUGGUCAAUGGAGAGGUCACGGGUGAUACCAAAAGCGCAGCGUACGGUCGACGGUGGUGUCCGCUUUUGCUCCAUUCUCGGGAAGGCUGUGAUAAAGCAGCGGAAUUCACGGUGAGUUUCGUUUUAUCAUUCCGGCAUCAAACGUCCUUUGGCUUCGUUCCGGCAUCCCCCUGCACUCUUGCUUUGAAAUAGGUUUUGAUUGCUCUAAAAAUAAAAGACUCACCGAUUGGCCUGCACGCUGCUUCUGGAUAGAUCCGGUUUUAUAGUCUUACAGAUUCUUUGUACGAUUGCAGGGCACAUGAAAACGCCUGUUCGGAGGUCUGAUGCAAGGAUUUUAAAAUCCGGCAUAUUCUCUACCUCGGCGAGUGACCUACGGAUUUUCUUUAGGUUUUGCUCUAUACUUUAGAUUUCGCAUAUCAAUAACUCAGCAAUAUGAUAAAUCAAAAUUUAUCGCCUGUCUUAAAAUAAAUUUCAAAAUUAUUUAGCUGAAAAUCCAUUUAUAAAAUAAAAAUAAUCACA
rnacentral:lncRNA from 1 species